UACGAAGGGUGCAAGCGUUAAUCGGAAUUACUGGGCGUAAAGGGUGCGUAGGCGGUUCGUUAAGUCUGUCGUGAAAUCCCCGGGCUCAACCUGGGAACUGCAUUGGUGACUGGCGGGCUAGAGUGUGGCAGAGGGGGGUAGAAUUCCACGUGUAGCAGUGAAAUGCGUAGAGAUGUGGAGGAACACCAGUGGCGAAGGCGGCUUUCUGGUCUGUAACUGACGCUGAGGCGCGAAAGCGUGGGGAGCAAACAGG
rnacentral:rRNA from 1 species